GGUUUCCUACGGGGGGCAGCAGUGGGGAAUAUUGGGCAAUGGGCGCAAGCCUGACCCAGCAACGCCGCGUGAAGGAAGAAGGCUUUCGGGUUGUAAACUUCUUUUAUGAGGGACGAAAGAAAUGACGGUACCUCAUGAAUAAGCCACGGCUAACUACGUGCCAGCAGCCGCGGUAAUACGUAGGUGGCAAGCGUUAUCCGGAUUUACUGGGUGUAAAGGGCGUGUAGGCGGGACUGCAAGUCAGAUGUGAAAAUUAUGGGCUCAAACCAUAACCUUCAUUUGAACCUGUAUUUUUUGAGUGAUGG
rnacentral:rRNA from 1 species